CAGGUUUCAUCAUGUAUCCUCUUUAUAAUUGCAUUGUGUGAAUCUGUAUAGUUGUAAAUUAGACUUUAUAAAUUACAAAAUAAUAUUGAAUUCCUCAUCACAGUAAAGAUGCUGUGGUUAUGAUGUCAAUCAAGCAUACGUAAUCAAGUGCAUAAUAAAGGAUCUCAGGCAUGCUUGGUAUUUGACUAGAAAAUUAAAGUUUUAGAAGUUACUGUAACCAGUACAGUUGAAGAAAAGAACUGCAAUGUAGGACCUCGUAACAAUUUUUCUUUCUCAAAAGGAACAUUGAGGAAAAUUUCAGAACACUCCACAUUAUCUUAUUUAUUUCAAUUUAAUUUGUGAGACAAUGUCAGCAUGUUACCUUGGAAGCUUCAAUAUAAGCCCAUUCAUCAAAAGCACUUUCUUCAGUCUUAGCCAGCUGCAAAACCAUUCGAGGUUAUCUUGCCAGAGAAGGAGCCUUCAUAUCCUGCUCCCCUUUAAAAGCACCUUUGCUCUUUACAUACCGGAAGGUAAAUACACUGUAAAAAUGCCAAGGCCUACCACAGUUCAGAUAUUUGAGAGUCUUGUGAAGAAAAGGCACAAAGAGAACCUGAAUAGAUGCUCCCCGUGAACUUUUCAAAGAAUGCAAGAACAUAAUUCUUGCCUCUCCUAGGUGAGCAAGUCAUCAGCUUACUCCUAAUUCAUUUCUAUCUUAACAAGCUUACAGAGCAAACCACUACAGAGAAGAGCAUGAUUUAAAAAGAGAUCAGCAGCAACUUCAUUCCCCAGCUGUGCUGAGAAACUUCUCAGGAGACAAGAUCUAUGCAUGGCCUUCCUUAUGGUGCAGUGCAGCAUUUAAUUUCAGGGGAAAAAAAAAAGUGACAGCAACAGUAUCAUUAAAAGUUCCUUUCAUAUCUUUUACUUUGCAAAGCCAAGGAUGAAUAAGUUUAAAUAACAUUUCUAAGAAUAAAGCAAAUAUCUAAUCAGGCUCCA
rnacentral:lncRNA from 1 species